rnacentral:lncRNA from 1 species
AGAGAACCAAAACAAAAGGAAGAAGCUAAAACUGGUAAGAAAGAUUUACUAUUAUCUCUUUUUUAUUUAUUUAUUGUAAGUAAGCAUGUGUGGCUGAAGUUAUCAGGUAGAUCCUAUGCUGUAUAUUCAUGCUGGUUGGUGACCCUUCCUCCUUCCAAGGAAUGUAAAGUUUACUCUCUAUGAAUUCAGUACAUGUUGAUCAAAUAAAAAGCAAUCUGAUUUCAUCCCAACAGAAAAAGAAAAGAAAAGAAAGCUCAGGAUUGAAGUACAGAAGCAAAAUUCUGCACUGAAAUAUCAGUGGUGUCUCCUUUAUUCCUUUUUAAUUUUCAGUUCUACUCAUAACACAGUUAUUG